rnacentral:rRNA from 1 species
CGUGUAGGCGGUAUGUUAAGUCAUGUGUGAAAUCCCUCGGCUCAACCGGGGAACGACGCAUGAAACUGGCAAGCUAGAGUACCAAAGAGGGUGGUGGAAUUCCCGGUGUAGCGGUGAAAUGCGUAGAUAUCUGGAGGAACACCGGUGGCGAAGGCGGCAUCCUGGACCAACACUGACGCUGAGGAGCGAAAGCCAGGGGAGCAAACGG